UGGGACGUGGAUUCGACGAGGUUACUUUGAAAAAAUUAGAGUGUUCAAAGCAAGCUAAAGCUCUGAAUACAUUAGCAUGGAAUAACGCGAGAGGACUCGGUCCUUAUUUUGUUGGUCUUCAAGGAUGGAGUAAUGAUUAAGAGGGACAGUUGGGGGCAUUCGUAUUUCAUUGCUAGAGGUGAAAUUCUUGGAUUUAUGAAAGACGAACUUCUGCGAAAGCAUUUGCCAAGGAUGUUUUCAUUGAUCAAGAACGAAAGUUGGGGGCUCGAARAUGAUCAGAUACCAUCCUAGUCUCAACCAUAAACGAUGCCGACUAGGGAUUGGCAGG
rnacentral:rRNA from 1 species